GAUGAACGCUGGCGGCGUGCCUAAUACAUGCAAGUCGAGCGAACAGACGAGGAGCUUGCUCCUCUGACGUUAGCGGCGGACGGGUGAGUAACACGUGGAUAACCUACCUAUAAGACUGGGAUAACUUCGGGAAACCGGAGCUAAUACCGGAUAAUAUAUUGAACCGCAUGGUUCAAUAGUGAAAGACGGUUUUGCUGUCACUUAUAGAUGGAUCCGCGCCGCUUUAGCUAGUUGGUAAGGGAACGGCUUACCAAGGCAACGAUGCGUAGCCGACCUGAGAGGGUGAUCGGCCACACUGGAACUGAGACACGGUCCAGACUCCUACGGGAGGCAGCAGUAGGGAAUCUUCCGCAAUGGGCGAAAGCCUGACGGAGCAACGCCGCGUGAGUGAUGAAGGUCUUCGGAUCGUAAAACUCUGUUAUUAGGGAAGAACAAAUGUGUAAGUAACUAUGCACGUCUUGACGGUACCUAAUCAGAAAGCCACGGCUAACUACGUG
rnacentral:rRNA from 1 species